UUAAGCGACUAAGCGUACACGGUGGAUGCCCUGGCAGUCAGAGGCGAUGAAGGACGUGCUAAUCUGCGAUAAGCGCCGGUAAGGUGAUAUGAACCGUUAUAACCGGCGAUUUCCGAAUGGGGAAACCCAGUGUGAUUCGUCACACUAUCAUUAACUGAAUCCAUAGGUUAAUGAGGCGAACCGGGGGAACUGAAACAUCUAAGUACCCCGAGGAAAAGAAAUCAACCGAGAUUCCCCCAGUAGCGGCGAGCGAACGGGGAGGAGCCCAGAGCCUGAAUCAGCAUGUGUGUUAGUGGAAGCGUCUGGAAAGGUGCGCGAUACAGGGUGACAGCCCCGUACACAAAAGCGCAUGUGCUGUGAGCUCGAUGAGUAGGGCGGGACACGUGGUAUCCUGUCUGAAUAUGGGGGGACCAUCCUCCAAGGCUAAAUACUCCUGACUGACCGAUAGUGAACCAGUACCGUGAGGGAAAGGCGAAAAGAACCCCGGCGAGGGGAGUGAAAAAGAACCUGAAACCGUGUACGUACAAGCAGUGGGAGCACAGGUUUACCUGUGUGACUGCGUACCUUUUGUAUAAUGGGUCAGCGACUUAUAUUCUGUAGCAAGGUUAACCGUAUAGGGGAGCCGUAGGGAAACCGAGUCUUAACCGGGCGUUAAGUUGCAGGGUAUAGACCCGAAACCCGGUGAUCUAGCCAUGGGCAGGUUGAAGGUUGGGUAACACUAACUGGAGGACCGAACCGACUAAUGUUGAAAAAUUAGCGGAUGACCUGUGGCUGGGGGUGAAAGGCCAAUCAAACCGGGAGAUAGCUGGUUCUCCCCGAAAGCUAUUUAGGUAGCGCCUCGUGAAUUCAUCUCCGGGGGUAGAGCACUGUUUCGGCUAGGGGGCCAUCCCGGCUUACCAACCCGAUGCAAACUGCGAAUACCGGAGAAUGUUAUCACGGGAGACACACGGCGGGUGCUAACGUCCGUCGUGAAGAGGGAAACAACCCAGACCGCCAGCUAAGGUCCCAAAGUCAUGGUUAAGUGGGAAACGAUGUGGGAAGGCCCAGACAGCCAGGAUGUUGGCUUAGAAGCAGCCAUCAUUUAAAGAAAGCGUAAUAGCUCACUGGUCGAGUCGGCCUGCGCGGAAGAUGUAACGGGGCUAAACCAUGCACCGAAGCUGCGGCAGCGAACGUAUCACUUAAAGCGAUUCAGCGGGUUACGAUUGACGGAGCGAAGCGACGUCAAAGCGUAUACAAAGUCGAGUCGGUUUAAGGAUACGUUCGUUGGGUAGGGGAGCGUUCUGUAAGCCCGUGAAGGUGGCCUGUGAGGGUUGCUGGAGGUAUCAGAAGUGCGAAUGCUGACAUAAGUAACGAUAAAGCGGGUGAAAAGCCCGCUCGCCGGAAGACCAAGGGUUCCUGUCCAACGUUAAUCGGGGCAGGGUGAGUCGACCCCUAAGGCGAGGCCGAAAGGCGUAGUCGAUGGGAAACGGGUUAAUAUUCCCGUACUUGGUGUUACUGCGAAGGGGGGACGGAGAAGGCUAUGUUGGCCGGGCGACGGUUGUCCCGGUUUAAGCGUGUAGGUGUGUGUUCCAGGUAAAUCCGGUUCACUUUAACACUGAGGCGUGAUGACGAGGCACUACGGUGCUGAAGCAACAAAUGCCCUGCUUCCAGGAAAAGCCUCUAAGCAUCAGGUAACAUCAAAUCGUACCCCAAACCGACACAGGUGGUCAGGUAGAGAAUACCAAGGCGCUUGAGAGAACUCGGGUGAAGGAACUAGGCAAAAUGGUGCCGUAACUUCGGGAGAAGGCACGCUGACACGUAGGUGAAGUGAUUUACUCACGGAGCUGAAGUCAGUCGAAGAUACCAGCUGGCUGCAACUGUUUAUUAAAAACACAGCACUGUGCAAACACGAAAGUGGACGUAUACGGUGUGACGCCUGCCCGGUGCCGGAAGGUUAAUUGAUGGGGUCAGCGCAAGCGAAGCUCCUGAUCGAAGCCCCGGUAAACGGCGGCCGUAACUAUAACGGUCCUAAGGUAGCGAAAUUCCUUGUCGGGUAAGUUCCGACCUGCACGAAUGGCGUAAUGAUGGCCAGGCUGUCUCCACCCGAGACUCAGUGAAAUUGAACUCGCUGUGAAGAUGCAGUGUACCCGCGGCAAGACGGAAAGACCCCGUGAACCUUUACUAUAGCUUGACACUGAACAUUGAGCCUUGAUGUGUAGGAUAGGUGGGAGGCUUUGAAGUGUGGACGCCAGUCUGCAUGGAGCCGACCUUGAAAUACCACCCUUUAAUGUUUGAUGUUCUAACGUGGACCCGUAAUCCGGGUUGCGGACAGUGUCUGGUGGGUAGUUUGACUGGGGCGGUCUCCUCCUAAAGAGUAACGGAGGAGCACGAAGGUUGGCUAAUCCUGGUCGGACAUCAGGAGGUUAGUGCAAUGGCAUAAGCCAGCUUGACUGCGAGCGUGACGGCGCGAGCAGGUGCGAAAGCAGGUCAUAGUGAUCCGGUGGUUCUGAAUGGAAGGGCCAUCGCUCAACGGAUAAAAGGUACUCCGGGGAUAACAGGCUGAUACCGCCCAAGAGUUCAUAUCGACGGCGGUGUUUGGCACCUCGAUGUCGGCUCAUCACAUCCUGGGGCUGAAGUAGGUCCCAAGGGUAUGGCUGUUCGCCAUUUAAAGUGGUACGCGRGCUGGGUUUAGAACGUCGUGAGACAGUUCGGUCCCUAUCUGCCGUGGGCGCUGGAGAACUGAGGGGGGCUGCUCCUAGUACGAGAGGACCGGRGUGGACGCAUCACUGGUGUUCGGGUUGUCAUGCCAAUGGCACUGCCCGGUAGCUAAAUGCGGAAGAGAUAAGUGCUGAAAGCAUCUAAGCACGAAACUUGCCCCGAGAUGAGUUCUCCCUGAGACUUAGAGUCUCCUGAAGGAACGUUGAAGACGACGACGUUGAUAGGCCGGGUGUGUAAGCGCAGCGAUGCGUUGAGCUAACCGGUACUAAUGAACCGUGAGGCUUAACCUU
rnacentral:rRNA from 1 species